UACGAGGGGGGCAAGCGUUGUUCGGAAUUAUUGGGCGUAAAGGGUGCGUAGGCGGUUUGGUAAGUCUUAUGUGAAAUCUACAGGCUCAACUUGUAGUCUGCAUGAGAAACUGCCGGGCUUGAGUAUGGGAGAGGUGAGUGGAAUUCCUGGUGUAGCGGUGAAGUGCGUAGAUAUCAGGAGGAACACCUGUGGCGAAAGCGGCUCACUGGACCAUAACUGACGCUGAUGCACGAAAGCUAGGGGAGCAAACAGG
rnacentral:rRNA from 1 species